UACGUAGGGUGCGAGCGUUGUCCGGAAUUACUGGGCGUAAAGCGUGCGCAGGCGGUUAUGUAAGACAGGUGUGAAAUCCCCGGGCUUAACCUGGGAACUGCAUUUGUGACUGCAUAGCUAGAGUACGGUAGAGGGGGAUGGAAUUCCGCGUGUAGCAGUGAAAUGCGUAGAUAUGCGGAGGAACACCGAUGGCGAAGGCAAUCCCCUGGACCUGUACUGACGCUCAUGCACGAAAGCGUGGGGAGCAAACAGG
rnacentral:rRNA from 1 species